rnacentral:rRNA from 1 species
AAAUUGAAGAGUUUGAUCAUGGCUCAGAUUGAACGCUGGCGGCAGGCCUAACACAUGCAAGUCGAACGGUAACACAGAGAGCUUGCUCUCGGGUGACGAGUGGCGGACGGGUGAGUAAUGUCUGGGAAACUGCCCGAUGGAGGGGGAUAACUACUGGAAACGGUAGCUAAUACCGCAUAAUGUCGCAAGACCAAAGAGGGGGACCUUAGGGCCUCUUGCCAUCGGAUGUGCCCAGAUGGGAUUAGCUUGUUGGUGAGGUAACGGCUCACCAAGGCGACGAUCCCUAGCUGGUCUGAGAGGAUGACCAGCCACACUGGAACUGAGACACGGUCCAGACUCCUACGGGAGGCAGCAGUGGGGAAUAUUGCACAAUGGGCGCAAGCCUGAUGCAGCCAUGCCGCGUGUAUGAAGAAGGCCUUCGGGUUGUAAAGUACUUUCAGCGGGGAGGAAGGCGGUGAGGUUAAUAACCUUACUGAUUGACGUUACCCGCAGAAGAAGCACCGGCUAACUCCGUGCCAGCAGCCGCGGUAAUACGGAGGGUGCAAGCGUUAAUCGGAAUUACUGGGCGUAAAGCGCACGCAGGCGGUCUGACAAGUCGGAUGUGAAAUCCCCGGGCUCAACCCGGGAAC